UUUUUUAUUCUAAAUAUUUUAGGUUCAAGUAAAAGUAUUUAAUUUUGGCAAGUAAGAAGGCGGAUCAAGUAACUUGCAAGUAAUUAAAAUUUAGACAAGUACUUACUAGAUCAAGUACUCGUUUUAAUAAAGCAAGUAACAAGCCAAAAAUCCAAUUACUUGGACAAGACAAGUCGAGUCACAAGUACCUCCAAAUUGGCAAGUACUUGCCUUGUGCCCAGCCAUAAAAUAUAAUACUAUAAACUAAUUUUAAAAUGAAAAAUCUCUUUUAAAUGGUGAAAAUAUAUACCCUAAAUUGGAAAUAGGAAAACCCAAAUAUAAUACCAUAAACUAAUAUUAAAA
rnacentral:sRNA from 1 species